AGAUCGAAGUGGCAUUCAGGCCAAUUUUCCGAUGUUCAGAUCGAAGAAGGUUCCGACGUUCAGGUCGAUGCGACUUGUGGCAUUCAGGCCCAUUUUCCGAUGUUCAGAUCGAAAUCCUUUCCAGUAUUCAGACUGAUGAGCGGCAUUCAAGCCAUGGUUAUUUCUGUGUUACCAUUUAUUUUGGUAUCCAGUUUAACAUUCUUUUUCGAUAUUCAAACUGACUCUCACCGUACCAGACGAAUUCUUCUUUCAAGACCACCUCUUUGCUGAUUCUGACAGACAUUGUUACUUCACUUCACUUCAGUGCAAAUUUUU
rnacentral:lncRNA from 1 species